UUUAAAGAGAGUUUGAUCCUGGCUCAGGACGAACGCUGUAGGCGUGCCUAAUACAUGCAAGUCGUACGAACGGAGGAAGAGCUUGCUCUUCCAAAGUUAGUGGCGGACGGGUGAUUUACACGUGGGCAACCUGCCUGUAAGUUGGGGAUAACUCCGGGAAACCGGGGCUAAUACCGAAUGAUAAAGUGUGGCGCAUGCCACGCUUUUGAAAGAUGGUUUCGGCUAUCGCUU
rnacentral:rRNA from 1 species